AUGGCAACAAAUGAGAACCUCCCACCAAAUGUCAUCAGGCAAUUGGCUAAAGAACUGAAGAAUCUUGAUGAAUCACCUCCGGAAGGGAUUAAAGUUAUUGUUAAUGAUGAUGACUUCAGCACCAUUUUUGCUGAUAUUGAGGGCCCUGCUGGAACUCCAUAUGAGAAUGGAGUAUUCCGGAUGAAGCUAUUGUUGUCUCGUGACUUCCCUCACUCUCCCCCAAAAGGGUUCUUCUCGACAAAAAUAUUCCAUCCAAACAUAGCAACUAGUGGCGAGAUAUGUGUGAACACGCUGAAAAAGGAUUGGAACCCUAGUCUUGGGUUGAGACAUGUUCUGCUGGUAGUGAGAUGCCUUCUGAUCGAACCAUUCCCCGAAUCUGCCCUUAAUGAACAAGCUGGAAAGAUGUUGCUUGAAAACUACGAGGAGUAUGCACGCCUUGCAAGGUCAACCUUUGACUAUGCAUUUUUCAACCCUAGUGCGAUGCUCGCAGAUCUUUUUCUUACGGAGCAAUUUUGGCACAUGGUCAUGAAUCUCAUGGCUGCCAUUUCUGUCAGAUCAGAUCGCAGGCUAUACACCGGCAUUCAUGCACAUAAACAUAAGAACAAGUCCAAGAGCGGAGCCAUUUGCGAGUCAACCACAACUCUAAACGUUGGCCAGAGCAACAACACCGUUCCGAGCAAGAACAUACCAUCGGCGCCAGCACUAGUAUCCACCUCCACCUCGACCAAAGUUCUCGGCAUACAGGAUCAGAACGCAGCUCCUUCUGAUCCUGCUGUAGGGCCAUCAACGGCAAACAAGAAGGACGGGCCGCUUGCCACCAAAAUCCCAGCCGAGAAGAGGAAGAUGGAUGCCAGGAAGAAGAGCCUGAAGAGGCUGUAA
rnacentral:rRNA from 1 species